UGGACAUUUGGGUUGGUUCCAAGUCUUUGCUAUUGUCAAUAGUGCCGCAAUAAACAUACGUGUGCAUGUGUCUUUAUAGCAGCAUGAUUUAUAGUCCUUUGGGUAUAUACCCAGUAAUGGGAUGGCUGGCUCAAACGGUAUUUCUAGUUCUAGAUCCCUGAGGAAUCGCCACACUGACUUCCACAAUGGUUGAACUAGUUU
rnacentral:lncRNA from 10 species